rnacentral:rRNA from 1 species
AGAGUUUGAUCCUGGCUCAGGACGAACGCUGGCGGCGUGCCUAAUACAUGCAAGUAGAACGCACAGUUUAUACCGUAGCUUGCUACACCAUAGACUGUGAGUUGCGAACGGGUGAGUAACGCGUAGGUAACCUGCCUGGUAGCGGGGGAUAACUAUUGGAAACGAUAGCUAAUACCGCAUAAUAUUAAUUAUUGCAUGAUAAUUGAUUGAAAGGUGCAAUUGCACCACUACCAGAUGGACCUGCGUUGUAUUAGCUAGUAGGUGAGGUAACGGCUCACCUAGGCGACGAUACAUAGCCGACCUGAGAGGGUGAUCGGCCACACUGGGACUGAGACACGGCCCAGACUCCUACGGGAGGCAGCAGUAGGGAAUCUUCGGCAAUGGACGAAAGUCUGACCGAGCAACGCCGCGUGAGUGAAGAAGGUUUUCGGAUCGUAAAGCUCUGUUGUAAGAGAAGAACGGGUGUGAGAGUGGAAAGUUCACACUGUGACGGUAUCUUACCAGGAAGGGACGGCUAACUACGUGCCAGCAGCCGCGGUAAUACGUAGGUCCCGAGCGUUGUCCGGAUUUAUUGGGCGUAAAGCGAGCGCAGGCGGUUAGAUAAGUCUGAAGUUAAAGGCUGUGGCUUAACCAUAGUACGCUUUGGAAACUGUUUAACUUGAGUGCAGAAGGGGAGAGUGGAAUUCCAUGUGUAGCGGUGAAAUGCGUAGAUAUAUGGAGGAACACCGGUGGCGAAAGCGGCUCUCUGGUCUGUAACUGACGCUGAGGCUCGAAAGCGUGGGGAGCGAACAGGAUUAGAUACCCUGGUAGUCCACGCCGUAAACGAUGA